rnacentral:rRNA from 1 species
AUGUCCUCAUCUGUACACAUAAAUAUCUACUACUGUACAUUGCAUCUAAUUUAUUGUAUGCUUUCCUGGUCUAAUGAACUGGAAUUGAAGUCCUGUUUUGGUUUGUUCUUAAAUCUCACGUAUGUACCUGAAUACCAUCUAUGGUUUACUUUCUUAGAUACAUUAAAUUUUAGUAAGUUUCAUGGAAACAAUUUUGCACAUCUAAAUUAUGGUGCGACCCCUUCUGAUUAUGUGUUGAUGAUCAUAAUGGAUUAUGGAAUGGUAAGAUACUCUGAAGCUUCUGAUUGCUAUCUGCACUAUUGUAUAUUUAAAACAUGA